GACGAACGCUGGCGGCGUGCUUAACACAUGCAAGUCGAGCGAUGAAGCUCCUUCAGGAGUGGAUUAGCGGCGGACGGGUGAGUAACACGUGGGCAGCCUGCCUUAUAGAGAGGAAUAGCCAUCCGAAAGGAUGAUUAAUACCUCAUAAUAUUGUAGCUUCGCAUGGAGCAACAAUCAAAGGAGCAAUCCACUAUAAGAUGGGCCCGCGGCGCAUUAGCUAGUUGGUGAGGUAACGGCUCACCAAGGCGACGAUGCGUAGCCGACCUGAGAGGGUGAUCGGCCACAUUGGGACUGAGACACGGCCCAGACUCCUACGGGAGGCAGCAGUGGGGAAUAUUGCACAAUGGGGGAAACCCUGAUGCAGCAACGCCGCGUGAGUGAUGACGGCCUUCUGGUUGUAAAGCUCUGUCUUCAGGGACGAUAAUGACGGUACCUGAGGAGGAAGCCACGGCUAACUACGUGCCAGCAGCCGCGGUAACAC
rnacentral:rRNA from 1 species